rnacentral:rRNA from 1 species
GACGAACGCUGGCGGCGUGCCUAACACAUGCAAGUCGAGCGGGGUUGAAGCGAGGGGUAACUCGGACUUCUACCUAGCGGCGGACGGGUGAGUAACGCGUGGGCAACCUGCCUCAAGGUUUGGGAUAACAGCUCGAAAGGGCUGCUAAUACCGGAUAUGCCUGUGGCCUCGCAUGGGGCUAUGAGCAAAGGGGAAACCCGCCUUGAGAUGGGCCCGCGUCCCAUCAGCUAGUUGGUGAGGUGAAGGCUCACCAAGGCGACGACGGGUAGCCGGCCUGAGAGGGUGACUGGCCACACUGGGACUGAGACACGGCCCAGACUCCUACGGGGGGCAGCAGUGGGGGAUCUUGCACAAUGGGCGAAAGCCUGAUGCAGCGACGCCGCGUGAGCGAAGAAGGCCUUCGGUUGUAAAGCUCUGUCUGGAGGGACGGAAGAAAAUGAACGGUACCUCCGGAGGAAGCCAACGGCUAACUACGUG